CACACACACACACGCACACACACAUUCUGGGCGCUCAAUACUCUAGGUUCUGGCUAAUUAUUAUUAUUGCCUUUUUUUUGUAAGGCACUUUGGCAGUUGGCACACACCGUAAUUCACCUGUAGCAGCUCUGGCUGUGGCCCGUAAAAAGCGAAGCACACGUAACAGUUCAAAAACGAAUGCGCAACGAAAAAGUACAACAAAACGCGCUUUUCCAUUAAAACACAUCCCUCGCAUUGUUGUUGUGGUAUUGUUUAGGUACUUUUUUUUUUUCAUCCACAUUUUAUAUCGCGACCUUAGUUGCUUAGAGGCGUACGAGUACGUUACAGGAAGCAGGCGGGUGUUAAAGGCGGUAUGAUAAAUACAGUAUUGUCAAAUCGGGAAACAUACGAGCGGCUUUUAUACACUAUAAAGAGUCGCACAAUUUGCGCGUAAUCGAAUUCUGUUGAUUGCAAAACUAUUAUAAAAAUUAAAAGAAAAAAUAAUUUUUUUAUUACACUUUAAGUGCACACAUUUAGGCAUAGUCGGUGGCCCCUCUUACCAACGAAAAGUAGCGAAUGUUAUCGAACGCUAUUGAAUACGAAAUUAAGAGUGAAGUGUCGUAAUUUAAAUGUUCCCUUGAUAAUAAUCACACGAUAAUUUGAAUUUUAUGCUCCGGCAUCUACCUUCAAACGCGUGUUUUUUUCGAAAUUUCAUAAAUAUACAUAUAUACAUACAACUUUAAACAGGAUUGUGGCUGUGCUUUCCGGGAUAGUGGUCAAUUGUAACUCGUGAUUACGAACAAGUGCAAGAUGGCGGCAGGUGGCUACGGCGGUUACGGCAACAGAAAUCAUAUUAAAAAUUUUGGCUGUCUGUGGACGAUUGUGCUAUGGGCUGCACACCUCAGUUUGAUUCAGUCCCUGAUUUGGAUGGGUCUCAACAUAGCUGGAAUAAUCGCAUACACCUGCAAUAUGCCCAUUAAUUCCCUAUUUACCUAUGGUUCACUGAUGGAAUACGCUUUCUACACGCUGUACUUUAAAGGCAAUUGCAUACCCUCCGACUAUCAGCAGUUCAAUCGCACAAUGUUGGAUUCGGUGUCAACAGUGCUGUCACCAGAGGACAUCUUCCUUUGGAAUUGCGUAUACCUGGCGGUGGCGUUUUGCUGGUGCAUUACAGCGUUGUUGUUGUUGACAAUGGUGAGAAAGGACAAUAUAAAGUAUACCAGCGCCGCCAUUUACAGUUGGAUCGUGGCGAUAGCAUGCAUAAAUUUAAUGGACUUGGGAUUGGGCAUUAUAUUUGGCCUUGAUUUUGGCAAAUUCAAUCGCGCCGCUUAUAAUUAUAAUUUGUCCAGCAUGAAUGCGGGCGAGAUCGAUCCACAGGCAGCUCAAUUGGUAGCUGGAGGCGUAGCAGCUAUAUCCUUGAUGAUCAUCUCAUUUAAGGGCGUAAUUUUGUGGCUGAUCAAUGUCGGUUUAAUGUGUUAUCUGCUAAAACUUGUUAUUGAAAUUGCCUACGAUAGGGACAACAAUGAUACCUUAUUCAUGCCUCCCAUGACAGAUAGGGACUCUGAUGACAUCAUAUCUAACCGACCGCCGAUUAAAGCUUAUGAGGAAGAGAUCACCACCAAAGUAUACACUAACGAAGCCUUUGUGCCGGACAAUCGUUCUGUGGUCACCGUCGAAUUAAAUCAGGAUGCUCUGGCGCGAGCUGCUCGCAUGUCGUCCGAUAUCUUAACGCAGGGAUCACGUUUCCGUAAUGUAGACUCUUACCAACAGUAUCCGUCACCGCCAAAUAACAACAACAUUUCUGCUAAUAACAACAAUCACUUCGUCAAAAAAGCGUCAAUAAAUGAUAAAGUUACUAUCAUAGGAACGGCAAGUUCACCGGACGUGAUAUCACCCUAUCCAGUACCGGAUUACACACCACCAAUGUCGCGCGCAGCUAACGGUGGAGUACAUAAUCAACGCUACCAAUGAAUGAGUGGGUGCCAAUGAAGUUCGCUCGAAGAAACUGCAUAUCUCUUCAUUGCGUCAAUUAAAUUAGUUUAAAUUAAGUGCCAUCCAUUAGCUUCAUUCCGUUAUAAUAAUUUAAAAUAAAUAUAUGUAAAUAUGUAGUAUGCGUCUGCUCAGCGUUCGAUAAUCGUUGAACGCCGCCAUUGCAUCUCGCUCUCUAAAUCUGCCUACGCCUUUAUAUAUCAUCAAUCCGGCAACCACUCCUGCAACUCCUCUGUUUUAAAUUCACUUGUUUUCUUCAGCAAAUCAUAGCUUAACAUAUGGUAUACCUACAUAGAUGCAUACAUACAAACGCAACAAUGAACCUAUUUUUAGAAUGUAUUUAAUUGUAUAUUUUUAUUUAUUCAAUUGUAAAUAAAAAAUAUACGCUAUUGUAAAUACUUUAUAAACAGAAAAUUAUUUCGACAAUCGGACACAAGGUUUGUAUAGCUUUGGAGAUACUUUUUUAUUAUGCUCAAGUCCUCCACCGAAUUAAUUUUAUCAAAAACCAGAAGGUAGUGGAUACAUAUUUAAUUUAUAAAUUUCUCUUCAGCUUACAAUGCUACCGUACUUUCCCUUCGACCCCUCAAAACUUGGAAACAUUAAGAGAUAAGUACCUAAGAGUUUUGUAUUGUUAGUUGAGAGAUUUGGCUACUUCUUGAUUGCCCACUCAGUUCAAAUUAAUUAUUGCCUAAGAAAGUUAUUAUAAAGCUGACAUUGUUAAGGGUGUUGAUGGUAGUUUCAAGAUAAUCGAAAUUUCUAAAUUUCUUCCUAUUCGAUAUGGAGUAAAUCGAACUAAUGCCUCUAAUUAUUCCUAUGAUAUCUCUGCCAUCAGAAUACUCUAGCGGUUGAUUAAGUUAAGUUAAGAGGGAUCGCGCUUAGACUGUUCUAUACAGUCCUUUGAACUGUCAGAUGAAAACUCUUGUAAUUAUAUAUAUUAUUUUCGACAAAUCUGAUUUGGUGCUUUACCAUAUUUCAACUUUUGCUAUUUCACCUGGAUGUAUUUUGGCCUUGAUAUGACAAAACCGGGCCAUUCGAAAAGGAAAUGAUUCUAUCUCAUGUUCUUCCAAGUAGCUGAUGAAAUUGGCCUCCGGUAAAAUUUUCCAUCUUACCGCAUGAUUCCCGACCGAACAGUGUCCAGUUAGAACUAUGAAGAAGAGCUCACUAUUAAGAUUUACCCUGAGCCAGAAGGAUUUGGCGACUGUACAACCUGCCUGAGGUUCAACCACUUCCAAUUGGAAAACGCUGCAAUGGUCAGAUAGCCUAAAAUUGGAAUUGAUAGAUAGUUCCUGACAGUAUAGCGAUUGGUCUCAUUGUUUUAAAGAAGUGGCUCAAUAGGGAAUAACCUGACACCUAGUUCAAAAAAGGUUACUCUCUCUGUUAUUUAUUGAACUAUUAACAUAUAGUGGCUCUAAGUCAAACCUACUUCUAUGCAGAGUAUUCCUCACGAAAAUAUAAAUCGGAAAGUAUACAGAGGGCCUAUGUCUUGCCUGUAAACCGCUUUGUUAUUAUUCGAAAACUGGAUUGAACCUUCAGACUAUCAUACUUACAUAUGUAUAUACAUACAAUGGAAAUCGCAGCAACAUGAAGACACUCUAGAGGUGAGCAUAACGAACCAAGUUUAAUUUGUAAAUGCGAAAUUUUUUCGUAAUUAAAGAGAUUUGGUGUUAUCGUAGAUUACCAAUAUUAUUUUUAAACACAUUUUCAGACAUCUGCAUGUUAAUUGGUUAUGUAUGCAGUAUUUACAAAUUUGUAAACAAGUGCAAUUAUAAAUUUCCACUGUAGCUGACGUUAUUUCGUAGUAAAUAAUGAAUAGCCGAACUGAUAAGGUGCACAUGUUUACUGAGGCUGGGCCCCCUGCUGAGCUGAGGCACAUUAUCAGUAUUUGUACUGAUACGUAUAUUUAGCAAAAAUGUUUACUUAAAAUAAACUAAUGUACUUAACACAAAUUUAUAUAAAUGCAUAAUUCGCAAUAAAUAUUAUACAGUGUUUGGCCAUUGAAAUAUAAACGGCACUAAAUAUAGUGUUUAUAGUGUAGAUACAAAAGAAGCUUAUAAAGCUUAUAGCUUUAUCAAAACAGGGAAAAUUCAGCUUCUCCAAAAUAGCGGAAAUCGUUUAAGAAAGUUAGUUGUCUGUUUUCGGAAUAAAAACAAAUACAUGAAAUUGUUUUUCUUCAUUUAUCAUUCAGUGGCCUUAUAUUAAAUAUCCAAUAACUGUCACAUAAUUUCAAAACGGGUUUGGAACUCAAAAAAAAAAAUUAUAAUAAUAUAUUUUCCAAAUUUAAAAAAAUAUUCACACUGGCAACGCUUUGCGUAUUUUUAGAUUUCUGACUUUUCUUACUUGAUUUUGGGCUUUACCUAAUUACUUCACUGGUGGUACAAGUGGUAAUGUAGCUAUUUAAUUUUGUUUGUAGCCGCAAUAAUCGUAUAAUUGUGAGAUACCCUGAUAACCUUUGCCAUCGGCGAGACGUUCACGAGGUUGCCGCAAAAAAUUUGAUUCAAUAAUUUGGUGAUAACCCCUGUUGUCAGCGGCAAAAAUCGAUCAUUCUAACAGUGGACGUGAAGCGUACCGGACGCACAAGAACGGUAAUACCGGCUAUUCAACUUGGUGAACAAGCAUCCAAUACAGCACUAGAAGAAUGGCAUCCAUUACAAGAUUCGCACGUUUCGGCUUACAGCUCACCAAUGUGGCUACAAAAACACUGCGUGUGGCACCCACUCCACAAUGCCAACAUUGGCGUGCAUUUAAUGUAAGCAGUUUGCUGUUGGCAGAACGUCGCUACACGGAAAAGCACGAAUGGGUGUCUGUGGAGGGUACAACAGCCACUGUGGGCAUUUCAGAGUACGCACAAGACGCUCUGGGUGAUGUCGUCUUUGCACAACUGCCAGACCCUGGCACAGCUCUCGAGCAGAGCGAUGAGUGUGGCGCUUUGGAGAGUGUGAAGGCAGCCAGUGAGUUGUAUUCACCUGUGAGUGGUAAAGUAACAGAAAAAAAUGGCGAAGUCGAAGAGACACCUGGUUUAAUUAACAGCAGCUGCUACGACAAAGGCUGGCUCUUCAAGCUGACUGUGAGUAAUCCUGUCGAAAUUGAGAAAUUGAUGAGUGAGGAACAGUACAAAGAGUUCCUUAAAGCUGCUGAACAUUAGUUGUUCAAUUAUACGGAUCACGUGGUGUUUCAAGCCAGACAAUACCUUAACAUAAACGAUAAUAAUUUUUUAAUUUUGAUCGGUUAAGCGGGGUUAUAAUCACUGUAAUUUAUACGAAUUCAUAUUGUAAUAUAUUUAGUUUUAGCUUUAGUUUGUGUAUUGGUUGCUGUACGCAUAAAAUCACAUUUAUUUUAUUGUAAGCAUUUAUGCGUUUUGGGCGGGCAUAAUAAUAAAAAUAAGUAAAAAUGUUGAUUUUAAAUG